GAGCGAGCGGAACCACAGAUUGACUUCGGUAAUGACGUUGGGACAGCGAGCGGCGGAUGGGUGAGUAACACGUGGGGAACCUGCCCCUAAGUCUGGGAUACCAUUUGGAAACAGGUGCUAAUACCGGAUAAUAAAGCGGAUCGCAUGAUCAGCUUUUGAAAGGCGGCGUAAGCUGUCGCUAAGGGAUGGCCCCGCGGUGCAUUAGCUAGUUGGUAAGGUAACGGCUUACCAAGGCGACGAUGCAUAGCCGAGUUGAGAGACUGAUCGGCCACAUUGGGACUGAGACACGGCCCAAACUCCUACGGGAGGCAGCAGUAGGGAAUCUUCCACAAUGGACGCAAGUCUGAUGGAGCAACGCCGCGUGAGUGAAGAAGGUUUUCGGAUCGUAAAGCUCUGUUGUUGGUGAAGAAGGAUAGAGGUAGUAACUGGCCUUUAUUUGACGGUAAUCAACCAGAAAGUCACGGCUAACUACGUGCCAGCAGCCGCGGUAAUACGUAGGUGGCAAGCGUUGUCCGGAUUUAUUGGGCGUAAAGCGAGCGCAGGCGGAAAAAUAAGUCUAAUGUGAAAGCCCUCGGCUUAACCGAGGAACUGCAUCGGAAACUGUUUUUCUUGAGUGCAGAAGAGGAGAGCGGAACUCCAUGUGUAGCGGUGGAAUGCGUAGAUAUAUGGAAGAACACCAGUGGCGAAGGCGGCUCUCUGGUCUGCAACUGACGCUGAGGCUCGAAAGCAUGGGUAGCGAACAGGAUUAGAUACCCUGGUAGUCCAUGCCGUAAACGAUGAGUGCUAAGUGUUGGGAGGUUU
rnacentral:rRNA from 1 species